ACAUAGGGUGCAAGCGUUGUCCGGAAUUAUUGGGCGUAAAGAGCUCGUAGGUGGUUCGUUACGUCGGAUGUGAAAAUCUGGGGCUCAACCCCAGACCUGCAUCCGAUACGGUCGAGCUAGAGUUUGGUAGGGGAGACUGGAAUUCCUGGUGUAGCGGUGGAAUGCGCAGAUAUCAGGAGGAACACCAAUGGCGAAGGCAGGUCUCUGGGCCAAUACUGACACUGAGGAGCGAAAGCGUGGGGAGCGAACAGGAUUAGAUACCCUGGUAGUCCACGCCGUAAACGGUGGGCGCUAGUUGUGGGAACCUUCCACGGUUUCUGCGACGCAGCUAACGCAUUAAGCGCCCCGCCUGGGGAGUACGAUCGCAAGAUUA
rnacentral:rRNA from 1 species